rnacentral:rRNA from 1 species
GACAGAGGAGCCAAGCGUUGUCCGGAGUAACUGGGCGUAAAGCGCACGCAGGUGGUUCUGUGCGUGGGGUGUGAAAGCUCUCGGCUUAACUGAGAGAGGCCACCUCAUACGGCAGAGCUCGAGCCCGUGAGAGGUCCACGGAAUUGCCGGUGUAGUGGUGAAAUGCGUAGAGAUUUGGAGGAACACCAGUGGCGAAGGCGACUUUCUGGUCUGUAACUGACACUGAGGCGCGAAAGCGUGGGGAGCAAACAGG